rnacentral:snRNA from 1 species
CUCAUUUGCAAUCCUUUUGGCUAAGAUCAAGUGCAAUAUCUGUUCUUGAAGUUUAAUAUGAUACAUCCUCUAUUUGGGGACAAUAUGUUAAAUGGAUUUUUGGAGUAGGAAGAUGGAAUAGGAGUUUAUUUUGUCCAUUCCACUCAUGAACCUGUUAUUUUAGUCCCUCCGGGAGUGGUGUACCCCUU